AUUAUUGAGAGUUUGAUUCUAGCUCAGGAUGAACGCUGGCGGCGUGGAUAAGGCAUGCAAGUCGAACGAAUUAUUUUCCAAACAAGAUGCGAUUACAUCAAGUCAAGGGAGGAGAAUGGUUAGUGGCGAACGAGUUAGUAAUACCUUGGUACGUACUCCGAAGUUGGGCAUAACCUGCCGAAAGGCAGACUAAUUCCCAAUGGUUCCCGCCCUUUUGGUUGCAAGUCAUACAGGAAAUAAUUUGAUAUUUUUCUUGUGUGGGUUACAGCCAAAAGGGCGGGAUAAAGUCGCAAGACACUUCGGAAGCGGCCUAGGUCCUAUCAGCUAGUUGGUGAGGUAACGGCUCACCAAGGCAAUGACGGGUAGGGGGUGUGAGAGCACGGCCCCCAACGACGGAACUGAGAUACGGUCCGUAUUCCUACGGGAGGCAGUAGCCGAGAAUAUUCGACAAUUGGCGAAAGCCUGAUCGAGCGACACCGCGUGCGGGAUGAAGGCCUUCGGGUUGUAAACCGCGGUAGUUCGUGAACAAGCGCAUCUCACUGUCGUGAGGAUGCGAUAUUUGUAGAUACUGAUGGAUAUUGGUAGAUAUUUAUCGUACAACGAUGAGUAUCAAUUAGUAU
rnacentral:rRNA from 1 species